rnacentral:rRNA from 1 species
CCCUUAGAUGUUCUGGGCUGCACGCGCGCUACACUGAAGCGUUCAACGAGUAUUCACCUUGCCCGGGAGGGUUGGGUAAUCUUUUGAAAACGCUUCGUGAUGGGGAUAGAUUAUUGCAAUUAUUAAUCUUCAACGAGGAAUUCCUAGUAAGCGCGAGUCAUCAGCUCGUGCUGAUUACGUCCCUGCCCUUUGUACACACCGCCCGUCGCUCCUACCGAUUGAAUGAUCCGGUGAAGCCUCGGGAUUGUAUCCAGUUCACUUUAUUGUGAUUUGGGUGUGAGAACUUGUCUAAACCUUAUCAUUUAGAGGAAGGAGAAGUCGUAACA